GAUCCUGGCUCAGAUUGAACGCUGGCGGCAUGCCUUACACAUGCAAGUCGAACGGCAGCACGGGUGCUUGCACCUGGUGGCGAGUGGCGAACGGGUGAGUAAUAUAUCGGAACGUGCCCUAGAGUGGGGGAUAACUAGUCGAAAGAUUAGCUAAUACCGCAUACGAUCUACGGAUGAAAGCGGGGGACCGUAAGGCCUCGCGCGAUUGGAGCGGCCGAUGUCAGAUUAGCUAGUUGGUGGGGUAAAGGCCCACCAAGGCGACGAUCUGUAGCUGGUCUGAGAGGACGACCAGCCACACUGGAACUGAGACACGGUCCAGACUCCUACGGGAGGCAGCAGUGGGGAAUUUUGGACAAUGGGCGCAAGCCUGAUCCAGCAAUGCCGCGUGCAGGAAGAAGGCCUUCGGGUUGUAAACUGCUUUUGUACGGAACGAAACGGUCUGGGCUAAUACCCCGGGCUAAUGACGGUACCGUAAGAAUAAGCACCGGCUAACUACGUG
rnacentral:rRNA from 1 species